rnacentral:lncRNA from 1 species
ACAAGGUAUUUUCUCACUGAACAGUUUAUUGGGUUGUGCUAUUUUAUUCAUGCAGGUGGCACAAAAACAACAACUGUAUCAACAACAACAACUGGAAACAGCUCAACAUCAGGUACAACAGCAGUCAGUGAUACUUCAACCAAACAAGUUUGGUGGCAAUGGUUCAUCAUUGUGUUUGUGAGUCUUGCAGCACUCUUAAUAAUCAUUGUUGCUGUCAUCAGAUGGAAGAGAACUAAAGGAAAAAAAUCACAGACGGAUAAAAACAAUGUACAGAGCUUAAACCCUGCAGUGAAUCCAGAAACCUGUCAGGACACGGCUGAUCCUGAAGAUGGUGUUUCCUACGCCUCCAUCAGCUUCACCAAGAAGACCAACAGUAAAGGCUGGGUUCGGAGUAAAGGUGAUGAUGAUGAUGAUGAAACAGUGACCUACGUCACUGUGAAAGCUCCCUCUUCUUCUGCUGGAGCCUCUGCUGAUCCCAGCAACCUCUACGCCACUGUAAACAAACCAAACAAAUAAGAGACCACAGUAUAGUUACAGCUCAUAUCAUCACACUUAUUUUACAUUGAUAACUGAUACUGAUAAAUGUUUGACUGUGUUUCUGUAUUAGAUGAUCAUUUUCAGGAUUUAUUGCUGUAAUAAGCCUUUUUGUCCAGAAGGGGGAGUAGUAGGUUAACUAGUAGCACAAUGUGAAAAGCAGAAGUAAUAAACAGUGGAGAAAGAAGUAUUUAUCAGAAUCAGAUCAGAAUCAGAACUUUAUUGAUCCUCUGGGGGGGAAAUUAGUUUUGUUACAGUUAUUCAAGGUGCUCAGACAUUAAAGAAAUAAUAAAAAGAAGAAGAAUGUUAAAAUGGGUAUUAUAUUACAAUAUCUAACAACAAUGUAUAUAGAGAAAAGAAAAAUAGAUACAAUCGGAGUCUGAACUGUACAUUAUAAUACAAUAUAUAAAAUAUACAAAUAUAUGUUUGCUAAUAGAAAUAUAUGUCAGAUCCUUUACUACAGUACUUAAGUAAAGUAAGUAUUAUCAGUCAAAUCUACUUUAAAUACCAAAAGUAAAAGUACUCAUUAUGCAGUAAAAUGGUCUCUGUCAGUGUUUUACUAUUAUAUAAGAUGUGUUUGGAUUAAUAUUACUGCUGCAUUAAUGUGUAUGUUGCAUUUUACUGCUGUACAUGUUUAAGGUUGAGCUCAUUGUAACUACUUUAUCUACUGUAGUGUAGUUUAAUCUAAAGCAAUACAUCAUAUUCUGUGAAAUCAUCAUAUGUCUGUAGUGUUAUUGUCCUUUAGGGACCAACUAUCCACAUUUUGGCUUUGUGACAAUGUAUUUUCCAGCUGAUCCAAGAAGGUUUUUAAAUAGUUUGUUCAGGUUAAGACACAUAAAGACACUUCAUCCUUCAGUUUAUCAGAAACAUUCAACAUCACCAAAUCUGGAGAUACAUGGUAUUCACUGGACAGGAAGGGUAUGAGAAAAUGUAAUCUGAAAGGUAACUAGUAACUAAAGCUGUCAGACAAAUUUAAUGGAGUAAAAGUAUAAAGUGUCAUAAAUGGAAUUUGUACUUAAGUACAGAACUUGAGCAAAUACACUUGGUAACAUUUCACCGCUGGUAAUAACACAUUAUAUGACUGCUUGAAAUGUAAAUAAACAUUAUUCUGCUACAUUUUGCUUCAUGAAUUUGAUGUCAGGGAAUAAGUGUUGUGUAAGAUGUAUUUAUGUAAUAGUCACUUGUCAUUGUUUAAUUGCAAUAAUUUAAACAUCCAUGUUAUUGUCUAACUUCCUUUAAUUGGCUUUUAACAAAAUAAUUUAAUCUCUACUUUAAGAUUAACAGAUCAGUUUCAAAGCAGCAGCUUGAUCUUAGUUGUAUGUCUCUGUUUAAGAAGAACUCAUUUAAAUGAACACACAUUUAUCAUUUUUGUUAACAUGUUUGUUACGAGUCCAAUGUGUGUUUUAUUUGCUUUGAGUCUUAAAGCUAUAAUAUGUAAC